GUCCACGGUAAGGUCAGCGACUGGGGUGAAGUCGUAACAAGGUAGCCGUAGGUGAACCUGCAGAAGGAUCA
rnacentral:rRNA from 1 species